rnacentral:rRNA from 1 species
UAUCCGUCGCGGGCGUAGGAAAUUUGAGAAGAGCUAUCCUUAGUACGAGAGGACCGGGAUGGACGCACCGCUGGUGUACCAGUUGUUCCGCCAGGAGCAUCGCUGGGUAGCUAUGUGUGGGAAGGAUAAGCGCUGAAAGCAUCUAAGCGCGAAGCCAGCUUCAAGAUGAGAUUUCCCAUUCGAAAGAAGUAAGACCCCUGAGAGACGAUCAGGUAGAUAGGCUAGAAGUGGAAGUAUAGUGAUAUAUGGAGCGGACUAGUACUAAUCGGUCGAGGACUUAACCAC